CUGCAGUGUACUCUCAAUGAGGAAGAUAUAGAUACGAAAAGAACUAGAGCCGCAUCACAUGGGGACUUCUGCAAAUACAGAGACUCGGAUUAAAGGUGGAGAAGAUGGAGCUAAUGGAACUGCUUAUUUAAUACAUUUGAACAACUUUUGGGGUACUUAGGUGCUUUGAAACCUCCAUUUGAUUAAGCAAGAAUUCGCUUGCAAGUUAAGGGUUAGAUUUUUUUAUUUUUUAAAAAUAUGGUUUCUGCCACAUGUAAACCGGCACUCCACAGAAGGAUGUUAUUAUCAAGUCAGAUGCACCGGACACUUUGUUAUUGGAGAAACAUGCAGAUUAUAUCGCAUCCUAUGGCUCAAAGAAAGAUGAUUAUGAAUACUGUAUGUCUGAGUAUUUGAGAAUGAGUGGCAUCUAUUGGGGUCUGACAGUAAUGGAUCUCAUGGGACAACUUCAUCGCAUGAAUAGAGAAGAGAUUCUGGCAUUUAUUAAGUCUUGCCAACAUGAAUGUGGUGGAAUAAGUGCUAGUAUCGGACAUGAUCCUCAUCUUUUAUACACUCUUAGUGCUGUCCAGAUUCUUACGCUGUAUGACAGUAUUAAUGUUAUUGACGUAAAUAAAGUUGUGGAAUAUGUUAAAGGUCUACAGAAAGAAGAUGGUUCUUUUGCUGGAGAUAUUUGGGGAGAAAUUGACACAAGAUUCUCUUUUUGUGCGGUGGCAACUUUGGCUUUGUUGGGGAAGCUUGAUGCUAUUAAUGUGGAAAAGGCAAUCGAAUUUGUUUUAUCCUGUAUGAACUUUGACGGUGGAUUUGGUUGCAGACCAGGUUCUGAAUCCCAUGCUGGGCAGAUCUAUUGUUGCACAGGAUUUCUGGCUAUUACAAGUCAGUUGCAUCAAGUAAAUUCUGAUUUACUUGGCUGGUGGCUUUGUGAACGACAGUUACCCUCAGGCGGGCUCAAUGGAAGGCCGGA
rnacentral:sRNA from 1 species